GACGAACGCUGGCGGCGUGCUUAACACAUGCAAGUCGAACGGAAAGGCCCUGCUUUUGUGGGGUGCUCGAGUGGCGAACGGGUGAGUAACACGUGAGUAACCUGCCCUUGACUUUGGGAUAACUUCAGGAAACUGGGGCUAAUACCGGAUAGGAGCUCCUGCUGCAUGGUGGGGGUUGGAAAGUUUCGGCGGUUGGGGAUGGACUCGCGGCUUAUCAGCUUGUUGGUGGGGUAGUGGCUUACCAAGGCUUUGACGGGUAGCCGGCCUGAGAGGGUGACCGGCCACAUUGGGACUGAGAUACGGCCCAGACUCCUACGGGAGGCAGCAGUGGGGAAUAUUGCAAAAUGGGCGGGAGCCUGAUGCAGCAACGCCGGGUGCGGGAUGACGGCCUUCGGGUUGUAAACCGCUUUCGCCUGUGACGAAGCGUGAGUGACGGUAAUGGGGAAAGAAGCACCGGCUAACUACGU
rnacentral:rRNA from 1 species